GCAUUUAAUAUUCUGUCGGAAUAUCCUGUCGGUGUGAAUUUCACCUGACCUGGUUCCAUUAUUUAUUAUUUCGUAUUUAUUAUUCUGUUGGAAUUACCUGUCUAUGCGAAGUACCGCAUGCAUGGUGAUUUCUGUUAUUCCAUUCUUUAUUAUACUCAGUUGGUUAAAGUUUUGACUUCUAUACUCCAUGAAAUUAGUGGAAUAUCUUUGAUAUUUGCGCUUCAUCCAGUAUCUUUUCGUGGAAAUAUUCUUCUGAGCAUUCUUGCAUUUUACUCUACAAAGCAGUAUCAUGUUGACAAUUUGGACGUUAUUGGUUCCUGGACAAAUUAAUUCUUGAACUUGUUUAAUUGAAUUCUUAUAUCAUUGUCAUCAUCCUCGUGUUUAUGUUAUGUUGAAAGUGAUCUGUGGCCUGUAGUGCAUAGAUGGACUUGGUAUGAUUAUGACCAGGGAUUAUUCGGUAUAAUCAUGACCAUAAUGUUACAAAUGAUGCGAAAAUUAUGAGUCCUCGUUGGCCCGAAGUGCAUUGAUGGACAGUUUUUGGUAUGAUUAUGGCUAUACAUUCUCUUCGGCCAAGGGAGCAAAGAUGAAUCUUUUUAUGGCAUGAUCAGGACCGUUGAUGAAAACACAAUUAUCUUUUGGCCCCGUAGUGCCAUGGAUAAUUCGUGGUCGUGAUACUAAAUAAUAUCUUUGGCCUGUAGUGCAGGGAUGAUUUAAUGAUGUGGAUUAUUUAUUGAGCUGAGUCUCUGCGAUAAAAGUGAUGAAAAACUUUUUAAAGCAUAAAAGAUAGUAGAUUCUAUUCUCUACUUGAUUCUUUUAAUGAAUUGCUUGUUCCGCUGCAGUUAAACUUGAUGUCUAUUGUAUUUUAUCAGUUUAACAUUGUUGGAGGCUAAUGAUAAUUUAUUCUACAUUAUCUUAGUCAUAAUAUUUCUUACUGGGCUAGUUGAGCUCACCCUUUCUUUCACUGUUCUUUUCAGGAAAUGAGAAUAUAGCUGGGACGAGUUGGGGAACAGAGUGAUGGUCCAGAGGAUAGCAUUAGUAGUCCUCACUAUUCUGUGAAAUAGUGUGAUAAUAAUUGUAAUGAGGACUCCUUUUGAGUUUGUAUAAUCUCUAGUAGAUAAUAUUUGUAUUCAAACUCACAAUUUAUGUUUGUCGUAUUGUACACGACAGUUGUAUUAGUAAGUUGUAUUUGAAUUCUGUACCAUGUAUCUGACGACCCAAGAUAGGUGAUGUAUAACUAAUUUUGGGGGCGUCACAACCUGGCUGUAUCAUAUUGUAAGUAUACAUUCGAAUGGAAAAUUCCAAAUGGGAGGAGGUAAGUUUUGCUUCAAAAAAAAAAAAAAAAAAAAA
rnacentral:lncRNA from 1 species